UACAUGCAAGUCGAGCGAACAGAUAAGGAGCUUGCUCCUUUGACGUUAGCGGCGGACGGGUGAGUAACACGUGGGUAACCUACCUAUAAGACUGGGAUAACUUCGGGAAACCGGAGCUAAUACCGGAUAAUAUUUCGAACCGCAUGGUUCGAUAGUGAAAGAUGGUUUUGCUAUCACUUAUAGAUGGACCCGCGCCGUAUUAGCUAGUUGGUAAGGUAACGGCUUACCAAGGCGACGAUACGUAGCCGACCUGAGAGGGUGAUCGGCCACACUGGAACUGAGACACGGUCCAGACUCCUACGGGAGGCAGCAGUAGGGAAUCUUCCGCAAUGGGCGAAAGCCUGACGGAGCAACGCCGCGUGAGUGAUGAAGGUCUUCGGAUCGUAAAACUCUGUUAUUAGGGAAGAACAUACCUGUAAGUAACUGUGCACGUCUUGACGGUACCUAAU
rnacentral:rRNA from 1 species